AUUUUUUUAUUAUAAUAAUAAAUUUAAACAAAAUAAAUUGAUAUUUAAUUUUUCACGAAUAAAUGUAAUUAAUGAUUUUAAAAAAACUGAAAAAUUAAAUAAUUUUAAGAAUUUUAAAAAUUUAGAUAAUUUUAAAAAUUUUAAAAAAUU